UACGUAGGGACCGAGCGUUGUCCGGAAUCAUUGGGCGUAAAGAGCGUGUAGGCGGCCUUUUAAGUCCUGCGUGAAAUCCUGCGGCUCAACCGCAGACGGUCGUGGGAAACUGGAAGGCUAGAGUGCGGGAGAGGAGAGUGGAAUUCCCGGUGUAGCGGUGAAAUGCGCAGAUAUCGGGAAGAACACCCGUGGCGAAGGCGGCUGUCUGGGACGGUACUGACGCUGAGACGCGAAAGCGUGGGGAGCGAACAGG
rnacentral:rRNA from 1 species